GAUGAACGCUGGCGGCGUGCCUAAUACAUGCAAGUCGAGCGAACAGACGAGGAGCUUGCUCCUCUGACGUUAGCGGCGGACGGGUGAGUAACACGUGGAUAACCUACCUAUAAGACUGGGAUAACUUCGGGAAACCGGAGCUAAUACCGGAUAAUAUAUUGAACCGCAUGGUUCAAUAGUGAAAGACGGUUUUGCUGUCACUUAUAGAUGGAUCCGCGCCGCAUUAGCUAGUUGGUAAGGUAACGGCUUACCAAGGCAACGAUGCGUAGCCGACCUGAGAGGGUGAUCGGCCACACUGAAACUGAGACACGGUCCAGACUCCUACGGGAGGCAGCAGUAGGGAAUCUGCCGCAAUGGGCGAAAGCCUGACGGAGCAACGCCGCGUGAGUGAUGAAGGUCUUCGGAUCGUAAAACUCUGUUAUUAGGGAAGAACAAAUGUGUAAGUAACUAUGCACGUCUUGACGGUACCUAAUCAGAAAACCACGGCUAACUACGU
rnacentral:rRNA from 1 species